GUAAAGUCGUAACAAGGUCUCCGUUGGUGAACCAGCGGAGGGAUCAUUA
rnacentral:rRNA from 5 species